GCACUAAGAGGCAAAAUGGCGGACUUUAACUGUUGACAUGACCUCCUUGGAACAUUCAGUCUGGUAAGGGAAAAGAAUUAAACAUCAAAUCUUCCCUCAGGGACUCCAGAUAAGAGCCCAGGCCAAAGGACACCUUGAUUUUGACCUUGUCAGACCUGGAGUUGAAAAACCAGCUGCACUCUUCUAGAAUUCUUACUUACAAAACUGGAGAUGUUACAAGACAAGAUGAUUUCACUGGGAGCUGAGUUUUGCCAGAUUUGGGGAAAUACUGAUGCAGAACAUCAUUUAUUUAAGGCUGAUACUCAUGGAUAGAAGAGUCAAAGUGAGAAUAUAUGCACCCUUCUAUAUGGAUUCUGCAGAAAGAUAUGCUUGGGUCAUGACUCAGACAAUUUGGAGAGAAUUCCCUGAAACAUUCACUGUACAACUCUACUUUCUUGAAUACUUACUAUAAUUAAAGUUCAUUUCUGAUUUACAUAAAGACCAAUCAGCAUGCUAGAGAAUUUCCGCUUCAGGUAGUUAUUCAAGAAAACAGUACUAUGGAAGCUUUACCAUCUUCACUUUGUGGAUUUCAUAUCUAUUUCUACCUGGAAAAGAAGAGAGAGAUAGAGUACAAAAUUGCAAAAGGGGUUUUUAUAGGCAAUGACUUCAAGUGUAGCAUAUUACUUCUACCUACAUUCCAUUGUCUGGAUGUGGAAUUCACUCAUAUGUGUACACUUAACAGCAAGAAAGAUAGAGCUAGUUCCCUUAAGAAAAGAGAGAGGUAUUCACUCAAUAGCUCGAUAAUCUCUGCCACAAUGAAAGUAAGAUAUGCAUUACAAAGUUGUUCUAUUCUCUUUUCAAAUAACUCUCAUUUUAAAUUGGUUGCUGAGACAUUUCCUUGGAGCAUAGUAACAGUUUCUUACUCACUCAACAUAAUUUCCAUAAUGCAAAUGAAAAAAAAAACUGGUAAAUAUAGGUUAUAGUGUUACUUGUUAAAAGUGUUUUCCACAUACAAAAUUUUAUUUGCAUAUGGUGUCCUUUGAAAAAGAAGCACUUAAGAUUUUUUAAUCUCUUAAAGUUAGGCAUUUAAAUCUAGUUAAAUUCAAAUUGUGAUAUAUUUUGUAUAACAUCUUCAAAAUUUAUAUCAGUAUAAAACAAGUUCAGUAAAAAUCUACUGCAUACACACCACCUUAGGUCUACUCUAUACAAGAAAUGACACAAAAAAUUCUUCUAGAGUUUGAAACGAUCAGAAAGAUUUUUGUUUUCAAUCACACGCAGAGGGUUUAAAUAAUGAAAAAACCAUGCUGUAAUUUUUUAUAAUGUUUCUGAAACAAUAACAGCAAAAACACAAUUUAAGAAGAAAGAAGAGAAAAAAUUAUUAACAACUAACAAUAACAAAUAAGAAAUUAAGAAAUACAUUCAUUUAAAAUUUAGUUAUUUGGAGUGCUUAACAUAAACUACAGUUCAUGAACUUUUACCUACCUAGACAUGGUUUAUAAUAUUCUUUAAUUAUCAAAAUAUGUUUCAAAAAUGUAUUACUUAUACAAAUAUGAGCUAUCAGUUGAUGAGUAAGACAGACACUUGUAGCUAAAAAAAUUCAUGUAAAAAGCAUAUGCAUUUCCAUAUAUUAAACAGUGAAAGGCGUAACAGGAACUUUGCCACUUUACAUGAAACAUUUUGUUUCUAAACUUUUGAAAAGAUUGAAUUGGGAGAUACAAUUCAAGUUGAGAUUUGGUUGGGGACACAGCCAAACCAUAUCAAUAACUUUAUGUAAAUUAUUUAUAUUGAUCAUUCUUUUGUAUCCAAAUAUAUAAACACAUAAGUAAUAUAUGUUCUGUCCAGGUUUUGUGUGUGUGUGUGAUAUUCACUGUAAAAACCUGGUAGAGAUUGAGAGGCAAAAAUCCCAAGAGUGUGAGGAACCACCUAUGACUGUCUCCCUGGAGUUUUUAAGUCUCAGAGUUGUCCACACUGAACCUACAACAAUUCAUAAAUCAUAGUUCAUGUUUUUCCACAUAGGCAUGGGGUUCUUUGGACAUUGCUGCUCUGGUAUGUUGUGAUUAUCUGUAUUCACCUCUUGCUGUCUCCAAUUUAGAGGACAGCUGUUUGACCUGUCACCUCACUGCUCUUAUGGUCUAAGAAAACUCAUUAAUUUAUCAAUGUCUUCAGUUUUUUACUUUUUGGACAGAUUGAUGACUUCCAUGCUUCUUACAUGCUGGACUGAAAACUGAAAGCCAUAUGUAUGUUUUCAGAGGAUAACUCUUUGUGAAAUUAUUUAACAAGUACGACCUACUGUCUGUGUAAAUAUCGCAUGUAUUUACUUUAUACAGUCUUCCUUACUCACAGUGAAAAUCUAAAAUAUUUAUGGUGCUCUAUAUCAAUUCAUCACUUCUGUCAGUAAGACAGAAAGUGAGAAAGAGAGAGAAAUGAAGACACAUAGGCACGCACACACACACACAUGCACUCACACUCACAGAAAUAGUUAGAAAGGUUGAGAAAUGGUAAAUGUAUCUAAAACCCAGUACAUUUGACCAGUUUCUAGGAAAUAAAGAUAAAAAAUUAAACUUACAAACAAUUUUUAUAUAUACAUAUAUGUGUGUGUGUGUGUGUGUAUAUAUAUAUAUAUGUUUGUACAUAUAUGUUUAAAAGUAUAGCCGGUUACAUAAUUUAAAUACCUAAUAGAUUCCACUGCAUUUCUUUUUAGGGACAGAAACAGUGAUCUUCCUAAAAAUUGGAUAUAUUAUACCCAUUGAAAAUUUGACUCUAACUUAUACCUCAACCUCAAUUUUUUUUUUUUACUCCUCACACAAAAUUCUACAGAGAAUUUCUCACCAUUACCCAAAAUUGCAAUACCCUUCUAUAAUUACGUAGCUUAGAAAACAUUCUUUUAACUUUUACAGUAACCUCCAAUCCCUCAUUUUUCUUGCAAACUCCUACUCACCUCUCCAGGCCAAGAUCAUUUGUCAUUCCUUUCUCAUAAUCAGCUUCCACAACCAUGCUUUAAUUUACCUCGUUUUUAACCCUUAACAAAUUGUUAAAACACGGUGUAUUAAACACAUUGCUUAAUAAACUCAAGUUGUAAUCUUU